CAGAGAACUUGCCCCUUUGGGGUAAAUCUCCCACCCUUUGUUUACAACACCAUGUUGCUUUGGCAGGCCCGUCUUUGUGACCACUGGCCUUGGCUGGUCCGUGCCUGCCAGAGGAUUCAAAACUCUAUUAUUUUGUGUUCUGAGUUUAGUUUCAAUAGUUUA
rnacentral:misc_RNA from 1 species